ensembl:lncRNA
UUUGCCUGGAGAUCUCUGCAUACCUGGGGCCUUCCAAAGUCUUCAUUUACUGGUUGCCUCCAGCCAUAAGGAACAUGAACUGGAAUAUGUCCCCUUAUGUGUUGGCUAUGUCCCAAAGGAGCAGAGCUGCCUGGGAACACAGGCUUUAUGGGGUUCCAGAGUGCUCCCUAGCCAUCUUAUGGCAACUGCCUGGACCUUCAGUCAGUUUCCUUCUCUCCUUCAAGUGGGCAGACUGGGGAUGUUUUCUGCAGAAUGUGCAGCCUGCACACCACAAAGCUCUCCUUUCCUUCCUGUCCUCCCUUCAACCUUUACUUUCACCUCUAAUAAACUUGCUAGACUAUAAAUGGCAGAAGAGAGCUCAGUGCAAACCCUGCUGCUAUUACCAACGUUAUUACCAGGGAGCAAACUGUUGUCACUAACAAAGCAAAAGUGUAUGAGGAUGACACUUUUUCCUUAUGUCCAAUAUGCAGUGCUCUGGAUUUUUUCCUAUGGAUUCUGUAUUGGUUUUUCCUUUAUGGUUUGUAGCAAAAUGGGGAAAUGAGAUUAAAAACUCAAUGCUGAAUGUAAACAGACCAUUUAGGUUCUACUUUGUUCAGUAGUGCUUCAUGUUUACUUUACUGAUAUAACCUUUCUAGACAUUGGCUGCUUCUGGUGUGAUAAAUAAAUAUUGUCUUUAAAAUAGGAGUCUUACAUCAGUGCAUAUGUAACAGAUCUGAAAACACAGGCAUUUAAUAAUCGCUAUCUUGAAAUAGCCAUUUAUAGAUACUGAGCUGCAGAUCAAGUCAUGGGUUCUUAUAGGAAGAUGAAGAAUGAAAUGAAGUGAGAACGUGUUGACCUGAAGUCACAUUUGUAAAAGUACAGCCACCAUGAAUUGUUGGGGGCCAGAAGUUCUGCCAGGAAAUACUAGAUUUUUCUUUAUAGUGUGGGUACUUCCUGAUGUUCUUACUGCCCUCAAAUUAAGUAAAACCUGAUUCCACGAACAGUUGUGAAAGAAAAUGCAUGUGGAGGUUGAGACCAAUUUUCAGCUGUUGGAGGAAAGAACAAUAGCAUAUCCAAACUGGGUGUUAAUAAGAAUUUCUGGGUGAAGGUUUGACCUGCCACCAUAUUGGAGACCACUUAGGAGUAAAAGCUGGAACAAACCAGCAGUCUCAUUUUACCACUGACCCUACAUUCCACGGGCUCUAAUCCCAGCAUGGUCAGACUGGGCUUUCAAUUUUAAGAAAUAUGAAAUAUCAGUAAAUUAGACCCUGUCCCUUCUGAAAUCAAUAAAAAGAUCAUCUAUGUAGAACUCUCAGCCAAAAUGAGUUGAAAUCACCAGGUUUCUUUUUAUACUAGAUAAAGCAUAGAGUUUUUUUAUAUAGAUUUAUCUCCUGAAGCAUACCUGUAAGUUACCUUUGUCUUAUUCUGUAUGAUCUGAAAGUUUUGGUGUAAUUUCAUGUGCUUCUGAAGCUGAUAAUAAAACUCAGUCUCUUUGGUGUUACUGGCGUGACUCUGGAACAGUCACAACCCUCUGUUUUGUGGUGCUAGGCAGGUAGCUCCUAAAGGUGCUGAAUGUGCAGCUGAUUCUUCCAACUUGCUGGCCAACAUUGGCAAAAGACUAAAGAGAAGUAGCCUAACAGAAAGAUUAUGUUCAGUGAUCUGCAGAUUUCACUUACAGAAAAAUGUUCCUCUGGAUUUACUCUUUCAUGCUAUGAUAGGUAUGUUGACUGUAGGAAGUAAUAAAAAGUUUCACGU